rfam:Triticum aestivum genome assembly, contig: Triticum_aestivum_CS42_TGACv1_scaffold_394044_5AS
GCGAGUAGGGAAAAGGAAGCCAUGAGUAUCUUAGAGCGGUGGGCAUGGGAACAUGGAGGAAAGCAUAGAUUUCUUGGCCUCUUAAUUUAGGUGGCAAAGAUUGUUUUAUGUUUUCCUGAUGCCUCCCAUGCCUAUUGUUCUGAGGUAUUCCAUCCUUUUCCUAUUUGCU